GUGCUCAUGUUAGCAGCACAUAUUCUAAAACUGAAAUGAUAUAGAGAGGAUUAGCAUGACCUCUGUCCAAGAAUGACGGGUAGAUUUGUGAAGCAUUCCAGAUUUUC
rnacentral:snRNA from 1 species